rnacentral:rRNA from 1 species
UACGUAGGUGGCAAGCGUUGUUCGGAAUUAUUGGGCGUAAAGGGCGCGUAGGCGGCUUGUUAAGUCAGCUGUGAAAGCCCGGGGCUCAACCCCGGAGGGUCGGCUGAUACUGGUGAGCUUGAGUACGGAAGAGGUAGCUGGAAUUCCCGGUGUAGCGGUGAAAUGCGCAGAUAUCAGGAGGAACACCGAUUGCGAAGGCAGCUCGCUGGGACGUAACUGACGCUGAGACGCGAAAGCGUGGGGAGCAAACAGG